rnacentral:rRNA from 1 species
GUGAGUAACCUGCCCUUGACUCUGGGAUAAGCCUGGGAAACUGGGUCUAAUACCGGAUACGACCGCUCCACGCAUGUGGUGGUGGUGGAAAGCUUUUGCGGUUUUGGAUGGACUCGCGGCCUAUCAGCUUGUUGGUGGGGUAAUGGCCUACCAAGGCGACGACGGGUAGCCGGCCUGAGAGGGUGACCGGCCACACUGGGACUGAGACACGGCCCAGACUCCUACGGGAGGCAGCAGUGGGGAAUAUUGCACAAUGGGCGGAAGCCUGAUGCAGCGACGCCGCGUGAGGGAUGACGGCCUUCGGGUUGUAAACCUCUUUCAGUAGGGAAGAAGCGUAAGUGACGGUACCUGCAGAAGAAGCGCCGGCUAACUACGUGCCAGCAGCCGCGGUAAUACGUAGGGCGCAAGCGUUAUCCGGAAUUAUUGGGCGUAAAGAGCUCGUAGGCGGUUUGUCGCGUCUGCUGUGAAAGACCGGGGCUCAACUCCGGUUCUGCAGUGGGUACGGGCAGACUAGAGUGAUGUAGGGGAGACUGGAAUUCCUGGUGUAGCGGUGAAAUGCGCAGAUAUCAGGAGGAACACCGAUGGCGAAGGCAGGUCUCUGGGCAUUAACUGACGCUGAGGAGCGAAAGCAUGGGGAGCGAACAGGAUUAGAUACCCUGGUAGUCCAUGCCGUAAACGUUGGGCACUAGGUGUGGGGGACAUUCCACGUUUUCCGCGCCGUAGCUAACGCAUUAAGUGCCCCGCCUGGGGAGUACGGCCGCAAGGCUAAAACUCAAAGGAAUUGACGGGGGCCCGCACAAGCGGCGGAGCAUGCGGAUUAAUUCGAUGCAACGCGAAGAACCUUACCAAGGCUUGACAUGAACCGGUAACGCCUGGAAACAGGUGCCCCGCUUGCGGUCGGUUUACAGGUGGUGCAUGGUAGUCGUCAGCUCGUGUCGUGAGAUGUUGGGUUAAGUCCCGCAACGAGCGCAACCCUCGUUCCAUGUUGCCAGCACGUAGUGGUGGGGACUCAUGGGAGACUGCCGGGGUCAACUCGGAGGAAGGUGGGGACGACGUCAAAUCAUCAUGCCCCUUAUGUCUUGGGCUUCACGCAUGCUACAAUGGCCGGUACAAAGGGUUGCGAUACUGUGAGGUGGAGCUAAUCCCAAAAAGCCGGUCUCAGUUCGGAUUGGGGUCUGCAACUCGACCCCAUGAAGUCGGAGUCGCUAGUAAUCGCAGAUCAGCAACGCUGGGGUGAAUACGUUCCCGGGCCUUGUACACACCGCC